GGAAAUAAGGAAGUAGGGAGAGGAGAAAGGAGAGAAGCUGAAUAGGAGAAAAGCCGAGCGGGGAGGUGCAGUGGAACAAGCCAGCUUUUUUAGAGCAACAAGGUCAGAGGAGGAAUUGGAGGAGAAACUGAAUUAUCUUGCUGAGAAGUUUGAGGAGGACUUGAAUUUCUGAGAAGAAAUGAAAUUGUUUUACAGAAGAGUUUGAGGAGGAGCUAAAUUGCCCUGCUGUCAAGGAAGACUGCCGGAUAAGCCCACAAGUGUUGAGCCUCCCUCUGCUGCAGCUCCUCCUGUCAAGUUCCACAGCAUACUGACCUAGGAGAAGAAUGCCAAGGCUCUGGAGAAAGUGGUCACUCAGAGGCAGUCUGGAGAAAGGCUCUAAGAUCACACAAAAGCUACAUAUUUCUGCAAAACAAUACCUUCGUUGAUAUCGUGCCUAGAACAAUGAAGGUGAUGUCACGUGUGUCUCCUUGAGCAGAAUAUGGGUGGGCCAUCCAUGGCCAUGGUGGUGGAAUGGGAGAAAUCGCAAUCACAAUUAGGCUCAAUCUUGCCUGUGGUAAAUGGUGAUGUUGGUCUGCUACAAUCCUAAAAUUAGGUUCUUGUUUCAGUUCUCUCAUUGACUCGAAUAAAAGAUUUACCUUA